rnacentral:piRNA from 1 species
AAGCCAAGAAGCAACGGAGA